UAGCAUUUACCUACACUCCACCAUUCCUCUCUUGUCCCAUCCGAACCCCGUCCAACCCCAAGACCGGCCUACUCAGUAAUGUGACCAAGCUAAAGAACGAGCACCAUCAACAUCUUUUAAGCCUGAUAAUAUAGGUAUGAUUAUGAGGUGUGACUCACGGAAUAGCGAGAUACAGCGAGGAGGUUACAGCUAACUAACUAGACCGGCCGUGGAAGCUUCUAGAAGGAUGUUCUGUUUCUUCACUAGGGUAGAACUGGUUCCGGUUGUCUGCAAGACACUGGCCCCC